GCUCACAGGGAAGGGAGUGACAAGAAAUAACAAUACGGGGCUUAAUGUCUUGUAAUUGGAAUGAUGGGAAUUUAAACCUCUUCCAGAGUAUCAAUUGGAGGGCAAGUCUGGUGCCAGCAGCCGCGGUAAUUCCAGCUCCAAUAGCGUAUAUUAAAAUUGUUGCAGUUAAAAAGCUCGUAGUUGAAUUUCUGCUGCAUUGCUUUUGCUCCUUUACGAGUCUUUGCAUUGUGGCUUAUUUCGGACUUUGUUUUACAAUGUCCGGAUGUUUACUUUGAGAAAAUUAGAGUGCUCAAAGCAGGCUUUCGCCUUGAAUAGUUUAGCAUGGAAUAAUAAAGUAGGACUUUGGUUCUAUUUUGUUGGUUUUAGGUACCAAAGUAAUGGUUAAUAGGAACAGUGGGGCAAAAUG
rnacentral:rRNA from 1 species